GAUGAAGAACGCAGCGAAUUGCGAUAAGUAAUGUGAAUUGCAGAUUUUCAGUGAAUCAUCGAAUCUUUGAACGCACCUUGCGCCUUUUGGUAUUCCGAAAGGCACACCUGUUUGAGCGUCAUGAAUACCUCAAUCUCCAUCUUUUCUUCGGAUUGAUGGGUGACUUGGAUGUUGAGCCCUGCUGGUAUGCUAUAUCAGCUGGCUUUAAACUUAUUAGCCGGCUCUGUACUGGAUCGGUUUGACUCGACGUGAUAAUAUUAUCGUUGAGGAUGCAUGUCUCAUGCAGCCGGAAAGUAUCAAAGCAGCUUCUAGCUUGCCUUUAGUGCACUUUUACAUUUUAGACCUCAGAUCAGGUGGGACUACCCGCUGAACUUAAGCAUAUCAAUAAGCGGAGGA
rnacentral:misc_RNA from 1 species